CUUAGACCCCUUUUACAUGACACUGGAAACCGGAACCAUUUCGUUUCGGUCAUAGUAUUAUAUAUAAUAGAUGUUUUCGUGAGACCCGGACGAAAAUAACACUCGGAGCCCUUUUCCGCCUGCGCUCCUUCGCCCAGCGGCUCCGCUCGUGUUCCAAGAUCCGUCAUGUAAAGUGUAGUGAAAUGUAUCUUAAUACUUAUCGUAAUCAUAGCCAACAGAAGCCUCUGCGUAGGAGAGAGACUCGGACCGAAUGACUUCAGACCGGCAUGAAUUCAGCCUGAGAUGAAUCACAAAUACAUUUCAGACCGAUCUCGGCUGUAACCCGCUUGACAUUGGAACAACACAUGCUAACAAAAGCCAUCUAAAAAGAAAAAUUGCAUGGCAAGGAGCCGUAAAUCGAAUAGUUUGUGAUUUUCGUACCGGUCUCAUGUAAACAUGUUCACAAUUUUGUACCAGUUUUAUUCCGGUUUAACUUUGUCCCGGUCUAAUAUAAACGGGGCUUUUUAUUAUAGUGAGGGAUGCUGGAAGUUGCUGAGGGCAAGGGGUACGAUUUGUUACCAAAAGGACACAUUUUUUUUAAAAAAAGGAGAAACAAAAAUGAAAGGGCACUUACCUACUUGGCUAUAGGCCGUGGGCUGUUGUGCGAAAAAGUGCCUAGAAAAGCAAUUUCGUGGCACCCUCCUGGGAAAUAGAUUUUCUGUGGUUCAAUUCAUAGAACCAUAGAUGCUUAAUUACCACAAAAAGUUCCCAAGCAAAAAACUUGCCCAACACCGAGAAAAUGGGUGAUCAGUGAUUAUCCUCUAUUAAAUUGUAUUACAGCAAGAAAAUGUGAAAUUUUGUAUUUAAUUACAACAAAAAUGACUUGCAUCAUCAGAAAGCUUUAGACAGUUAAACAGUUUUUUAUAUCUAAAAUUGUUUUCGAGUUAUACGCUGUCAAAAACGCGUUUUGGACCUAGUACCCAGUCCCUAUUGCGACAUUUUGGUCCAAUUUUCACAUUUAAAACAGCAAUAACUCAAAGACUAUUUGAAAAAUCAAAAAACUGUUUAAAAGUCUUACGAUGUACGUUUUCCGAUGAUGCAAGUCAUUUUUAUUGUAAAGGAAUUAUAAAAUUUCCCAUUUUUUGCUGUAAUACAAUUUAAUAAAGGAUAAUCGUUGAUCACCCAUUUUCUCGGUAUUGGGCAACUUUUUUGCUUGGGAACUUUUUUUGGUAGUGAUGUACCUAUAUGCCUUUCAAAUAAACCCCAAACCAAGUAUUUCCAACAUGGAUGCCACGAAGCGAAAUAAUUUUGGCCAACAGCCCACGGCCUACUUAUAACCUAAUUUAAAAUCAAACACAAGCAAUGAAGCAACCUUUUAUUAAUGUCAAACAUUAAAAUAAGGCACACAGAAUUAGCAGAAACCGUUUCGCUUUCUCUUCCACUGAAGAAAGCUUUAUGUGGCCGUUUACUAGGUUAUGAAACGUUCAUUGUUUAUAACAUAUAAACUUAAUAAACUCCUCCAAAGUAACCUGGUAUUCAUUUUAAAUCUUUUGUGCACCCAUUGCACCCAUAGUCUAGACGCACCCGCACUGCACCCAAAAAGUUAUGAAUACCAGAAUACAAAAGGCAUGGGGUGCACUUGCACCCGCUGCACCCGUGGUUCCUGGGAUCCCUGAUUAUAGUUCAGCAUACGGAAUAAGCCAUUCAAAUUCCAACAAAGGCUUGAUUUGAAAAGGUGUACUUUUUUUCGGGACAUCUUGUUACUAUUUAAGUGGUGCAUAAAUAGAUAACUAACACUAUACAGGGUGUAUCAAAAAACCUGCAGACCUUUGAAAUACAAUGUUUUUAGAAUUUGCAUGAUUCAGAACUAAUAGAUCCCAAGCGUGUGAAAACACAAUAGUUGAAGCUAGUUGACCCAUUCGCAGUCGAACUGAUAAUUAGUUUUCAGCAUUACAAAUAACUUUGUGUCAGGGCCUUUUCAUAUGGGGAAAAGUUAUCCCGGUUAGCGAGAAAACAUUUCGACUAGCCAAAUAAUUUUGUUCUGUUCAUAUGGAGAAACGUUAUCCCGCUUACCGAGUAAAGUUUCCGGUUUGUGACGUAGUACUGAUGUGACGCGCAAGGAUUUGUAAGAAUGUUUUCCCGGGAAAGUUGCGGCUAUGCUAAGCGGGAAAGUUGUGGCUAUGCUGUGUUAAUAUGGGAAAAACAU